rnacentral:rRNA from 1 species
CCCGCUUGGGGACUACGCCCGCAAGGUUAAAACUCAAAGGAAUUGACGGACCCCGCACAAGCAGCGGAGCGUGUGGUUUAAUUCGAUGCUAAGCGAAGAACCUUACCUGGGCUUGACAUGCAAGUGGUACCGAACUGAAAAGUGAGGGACCCGCAAGGGAGCUUGCACAGGUGCUGCAUGGCUGUCGUCAGCUCGUGCCGUGAGGUGUUGGUUUAAGUACCGCAACGAGCGCAACCCUCGUCGUUAGUUGUAUUUUCUAGCGAGACUGCCCGAAAGGGAGGAAGGUGGGGAUGACGUCAAGUCAUCAUGGCUCUUACGUCCAGGGCUACACACACGCUACAAUGGCCGGUACAGACGGCUGCGAAACCGCGAGGUGGAGCUAAUCCGAAAAAACCGGCCCCAGUUGGAAUUGCAGGCUGCAACUCGCCUGCAUGAACGUGGAGUUGCUAGUAAACGCAGGUCAGCAUACUGCGUUGAAUACGUUCCCGGGGUUUGUACACACCGCCCGUCACGUCAUGGAAGUUGGCAACGCUUGAAGUCGCUGGGCUAACCCGUUUAUUCGGGAGGCAGGUGCCGAGAGUGGGGCCGAUGACUGGGACG